rnacentral:sRNA from 1 species
GCUGGGCAUGGUGACACAUGCCUAUAAUCCCAGUGGCUCAGGAGGCUGAGGCAGGAAGAUUAUGAGUUCAAAGCCAGCCUCAGCAAAAACUGGGCACUUAGCAAUUCAGUUCCUGUCUCUA